AUGUCUUCUUCAAGCUCCCGCACCACCUCGCGGAUGCAGAGCCCGGCGCGCAUGGAGAUGCCUAUCUCCGUCUAUCUGCGGUGCCGGGCGGCCGUUGAUCGGAGGGUUUCUCACACACAGAGGAACCGGAAUCAUCCGUUCUACGUGUGCAACGAGAAUGGGGUAAGAAUCGGGACAAUUGCACCAUUUUCGUGGUCGGGAUCGUUGAGCAAUGAGUUGAUCUGUUUGGCGUUCAUGCAGAAGAGCAUGAAGAAUGGUUGCGCAUGCUGCCACGAAGGGCAGUGGCCGCAGCACGAGCUCCGGAAGAAGAGAUGGAGGGUGAAGCACGCACUGAUAGAGAACUAG
rnacentral:rRNA from 1 species